rnacentral:rRNA from 1 species
UGGGGAAUUUUGGACAAUGGGCGAAAGCCUGAUCCAGCAAUGCCGCGUGUGUGAAGAAGGCCUUCGGGUUGUAAAGCACUUUUGUCCGGAAAGAAAUCCUUGGCUCUAAUACAGUCGGGGGAUGACGGUACCGGAAGAAUAAGCACCGGCUAACUACGUGCCAGCAGCCGCGGUAAUACGUAGGGUGCAAGCGUUAAUCGGAAUUACUGGGCGUAAAGCGUGCGCAGGCGGUUUGCUAAGACCGAUGUGAAAUCCCCGGGCUCAACCUGGGAACUGCAUUGGUGACUGGCAGGCUAGAGUAUGGCAGAGGGGGGUUAGAAUUCCACGUGUAGCAGUGAAAUGCGUAGAGAUGUGGAGGAAUACCGAUGGCGAAGGCAGCCCCCUGGGCCAAUACUGACGCUCAUGCACGAAAGCGUGGGGGAGCAAACAGGAUUAGAUACCCUGGUAGUCCACGCCCUAAACGAUGUCAACUAGUUGUUGGGGAUUCAUUUCCUUAGUAACGUAGCUAACGCGUGAAGUUGACCGCCUGGGGAGUACGGUCGCAAGAUUAAAACUUAAAUGAAUUGACGGGGU